UGGGGAAUAUUGCACAAUGGGCGCAAGCCUGAUGCAGCAACGCCGCGUGAACGAUGAAGGUCUUCGGAUCGUAAAGUUCUGUUGCAGGGGAAGAUAAUGACGGUACCCUGUGAGGAAGCCCCGGCUAACUACGUGCCAGCAGCCGCGGUAAUACGUAGGGGGCUAGCGUUAUCCGGAUUUACUGGGCGUAAAGGGUGCGUAGGUGGUCUUUCAAGUCGGUGGUUAAAGGCUACGGCUCAACCGUAGUUAGCCUCCGAAACUGGAAGACUUGAGUGCAGGAGAGGAAAGUGGAAUUCCCAGGGUAGCGAUGAAAUGCGUAGAUAUUGGGAGGAACACCAGUAGCGAAGGCGGCUUUCUGGACUGCAACUGACACUGAGGCACGAAAGCGUGGGUAGCAAACAGG
rnacentral:rRNA from 1 species